rnacentral:rRNA from 1 species
AGCGGAGGGUGCAAGCGUUAUCCGGAUUCACUGGGUUUAAAGGGUGCGUAGGCGGGUUGGUAAGUCCGUGGUGAAAUCUCCAAGCUUAACUUGGAAACUGCCGUUGGAUACUACCAAUCUUGAAUAUCGUGGAGGUAAGCGGAAUAUGUCAUGUAGCGGUGAAAUGCUUAGAUAUGACAUAGAACACCAAUUGCGUAGGCAGCUUACUACACGAUCAUUGACGCUGAGGCACGAAAGCGUGGGGAGCAAACAGG